rnacentral:rRNA from 1 species
AUUGAACGCUGGCGGCAUGCCUUACACAAGCAAGUCGAACGGCAGCACGGGAGCAAUCCUGGUGGCGAGUGGCGAACGGGUGAGUAAAGUAUCGGAACGUGCCCAGUCGUGGGGGAUAACGUAGCGAAAGUUACUCUAAUACCGCAUACGAUCUAUGGAUGAAAGCGGGGGAUCGCAAGACCUCGCGUGAUUGGAGCGGCCGAUAUCAGAUUAGGUAGUUUGUGGGGUAAAGGCUCACCAAGCCGACGAUCUGUAGCUGGUCUGAGAGGACGACCAGCCACACUGGGACUGAGACACGGCCCAGACUCCUACGGGAGGCAGCAGUGGGGAAGUUUGGACAAUGGGCGCAAGCCUGAUCCAGCCAUGCCGCGUGCAGGAUGAAGGCCUUCGGGUUGUAAACUGCUUUUGUACGGAACGAAAAGGUUUGACUUAAUACGUUGGACUCAUGACGGUACCGUAAGAAUAAGCACCGGCUAACUACGUGCCAGCAGCCGCGGUAA